rnacentral:rRNA from 1 species
UACGAAGGGGGCUAGCGUUAAUCGGAAUUACUGGGCGUAAAGCGUGCGCAGGCGGUUCGUUGUGUCGGCGGUGAAAGCCCCGGGCUUAACCUGGGAAUGGCCGUUGAAACUGGCGAACUGGAGUGUGGCAGAGGGGGGGUGGAAUUCCGCGUGUAGCAGUGAAAUGCGUAGAGAUGCGGAGGAACACCGAUGGCGAAGGCAGCCCCCCCUGGGCUAACACUGACGCUCAGGCACGAAAGCGUGGGGAGCAAACAGG